CAGCUUGGCCUCAAAGGCCUGUAGGAAUCACAAAACUAUCCUCAUCACAUUGUCCUGCACCUUAGCAAGGAAAGAGCCCCCCAAACCUCCUCCACUCAAGAAGAAGAAAAAGACCUAGGAUUUUACAGCUGGAUUCGUAUCCUCAGCCCACGAGGGCACUGGCCACAGAAUGACUCCUGGGCUGUUUUCAAGGGAGAUGUGGCCACAUGGCUAAGUUUUGGCCAAGGAAGCGUAAACUGCCAUGUUGGUGGGACUUCCAAGCUGAGAUGUGAUGGCCGGAGCUGCAAAACCAUCCUGGAUAGUGAGGAAGAGGACAAACCAUAGGAACAGGGGAGCAGAAUCCUGAAGGAGCCCAGGUCCCUCACAACGGUGAGGCCAACACCCCAGCCCUCGACUGCCGGCCUCCAGGCCUUCCAUGUGAUCUUCUAGCUUUUUUAAGCCUGUUAUUUUGGGUGUUCCUGUCACUGGCAGCUGAGCUAAAUCCUAACCGAUACUGUGACCCUGGCCUCUCUUUAGCCACCCUGACAGUCUGUACACCUAGCCUAAAUCCCUUGUGCCGAGUCCUGGGUCCACUUCUUCUUGGCCUGAGCUCUGAAAAUGCAGCAACCAGCAGGUGCCUCUUUUAUGACAUCUUGACCUUGCUGACUCUGAUUUUGCCACUGUAGACAAAUGAUGAUACAGGGGCCGUCAGACACUAGCACAGAUACGAAAAUGCCAUCAAACCCCUCAGAGAGCCCAAGUCCAAGAGAUUUCAUUUUAUUCAUUAUCAAACCUUAUCAAAUGCUUAUCAAAAGAGGCUCAGAAACCAUGAAUAAGAAACAUGAAGAGGAUAUCUGUGGAACUCCGUGCUUAUCAAGGUUCUGUGAAAUUCGCAUUAAAAUUCUGCUUUCCAUAUGUGUAAAUGAAAAAAGGCUAAUUUUAAUUUGUGUAGACUGGAGCCUUAAAGCAGCGUACUCUCUAAGCAGGCAGCAGUAACUUAAUCCUCCAUUGCAAACUAAUUACAUUAGAAUCAUUCUGAUUGGGACCCACGGCUCCCUUUGAUGUUAAACUCCUGUUGCCUUUCAUCCACAAUCAUUCUCUGGGCAAGAGAGAAUGAUUCUUCCCCACACCCUCCCAAUCCUGCUAGAUCAUGAAGCUAUGGCUCUUGAAGUUCAAUUUUAUUUUGAUGAAACACCAAGGGACUGAAAAUUAUUUUUCACUGAAGAAGACUGAUUUUGGUCUGAAAACUGCAGGAAGAAUUCU